UAACAUGAAGUAAAAAAUUUACAAUUAGUUUCGACCUAAUACUCUGGUAUAAACCCUUGUUUU
rnacentral:tRNA from 1 species